GCCGCUGUGGUGGAAUUGGCAGACACCCGGGACUUAAAAUCCCGUGGAGUAAGAUCCGUACCGGUUCGAGCCCGGUCAGCGGCACCA
rnacentral:tRNA from 1 species